GGUGCUAUAGAAAUAUUUAAUGACAUUUAUUUGACAUAUUGAUCCCAGGAGGAAAUUGAUAGACAAGUUCUAAUCUCUAAAUCUUGAGUUACUCUUCCUUAUUAGAUCCGGAGUGGAUUUACACUGUCAUCAAGCAGAAAUUGGGCUGUAAGACAGAACAUGCAGCAUCAUCUUUUGCUACCACAAUGUCUUCUUACUGAGGCUUUUCAGGUAGUGCUGCUCUUCAAGUGUGCAGAUAUCCAUGAAUUCUACGAUUUCACGCUGCGCUCUGCACCCCUGCAGCCUCCCAGCCUGGACGCAUGUCGCAGCACAGCCAGGCAGCAGCAUGGGGCCAGCGAGCCCAGCUCUGCAGUCACACCCGGAGAGCCCCAAAACCUACCUGAGGAUCCGUCCCGGGACGGUGAGCGGAGGCUUCCCGCAGGGGCUGGGGACAGCAUGCCGGGGACGCCGCCGCGGCUGGUGAGGGUGACGGCGCGGAGGACGGAGGCACCGGCCAGUGUCUGCAGCCUGGUGCUUGGCUCUCGCAGCGCCCUGCCCCAGGUGAGCCUCCGUGCGCCCCACGCCGCGUCCCACCCUACCAGCCUGGACGGCAGCUGGCACUGAGGGGACAGCACUGGCGCCAUGUGCCCGUAGCACCGCGGGGACGGUGCCGGGGAGGUGUUUCGCUCCCCCAGGCCUGGCAGUGUUUCCUCAUGGCUAUUCUGGUGAUGCUCUGGCUAGGAAAUCUAACAGUCACCUGUGCCGGGGGCUGGACAACACCAAAAUCAUCCCCUCGCGUUAGCCUUUACCAUGGCCUGGUGUCAGCCCUCGGGGCUCGGAGGGCAGGUGGAUAUGGUGCAGAAAUAAAGAGGCUGCAUGGAACUGGAAAUCCUCCCAGCCCUAUCCCCCUCGCCCCCAGCGCUGGCACACUCCCACGUUGCAGAUUUCCGUAUUUUUUUCUCUGAGCUCUUAAAUGGCAGGUCCAUUCCUCAGCUUACCGGGAGCUUUUCUCUGCUGUCUUAUUUACUUGGAAAUGCCGUUUGUUUGGAUGUGCAUCGUAAAUCUCAGCUUCCUCCUGGUGCGAGUGCAUCAUUUGGGCUACAUGUUUGAGGGGAGUUUUAGGGACGAGCGAAGGGCAAAAUGCACUUUUGGGAGGGAUGAAGUGGCCAGGAUGGAUGGAGCUCACCGCAGAUUUAAAAUGAUAUGAAAAUGUUGUUUUCCUUGGCAUAGUUUGAAAUAAUGCUUGUUUACUAAGUCAAAGUCUUCUUCCAAAAUAUUUUAAAUAAGAAAAUUGCACUGCUUCUUUUCUCUCCUUUUUAAAUGUUUCCCUUCUUAUUCUGGACUGCAAUAAAAUGGGUAAUGCCCCAUUUUUUUCCCUUACUGUUUAAUUUCUCCUUUUCCUUUUGCUACUCUCUACAUUUUUCAAACAUUCACCAAAUCUUUACCAGUUUUGGAAGGGCGGGAUGGUGGUUUUCUGAACACGACAGGAGGAUGAGCUCAGCUGCUGGUCUCCAUUCACCAGUGGGAGGGAACCACGACUGCAGAUGGGGUAGUCAUG
rnacentral:lncRNA from 1 species